UGCCGAAACGCGGGUUCGAACCACGAACAUUUAGAUCUUCAGUCUAAAGCUUUCGUAACUGAACUAAUCCGCC